rnacentral:rRNA from 1 species
UACGUAGGGUGCAAGCGUUAAUCGGAAUUGCUGGGCGUAAAGCGUGCGCAGGCGGUCUGUUAAGACCGAUGUGAAAUCCCCGGGCUUAACCUGGGAACUGCAUUGGUGACUGGCAGGCUUUGAGUGUGGCAGAGGGAGGUGAGAAUUCCACGUGUAGCAGUGAAAUGCGUAGAGAUGUGGAGGAAUACCGAUGGCGAAGGCAGCCUCCUGGGCCAACACUGACGCUCAUGCACGAAAGCGUGGGGAGCAAACAG